ACUCCUACGGGAGGCAGCAGUAGGGAAUCUUCCACAAUGGACGCAAGUCUGAUGGAGCAACGCCGCGUGAGUGAAGAAGGUCUUCGGAUCGUAAAGCUCUGUUGUUGGUGAAGAAGGAUAGAGGCAGUAACUGGUCUUUAUUUGACGGUAAUCAACCAGAAAGUCACGGCUAACUACGUGCCAGCAGCCGCGGUAAUACGUAGGUGGCAAGCGUUGUCCGGAUUUAUUGGGCGUAAAGCGAGCGCAGGCGGAAUGAUAAGUCUGAUGUGAAAGCCCACGGCUCAACCGUGGAACUGCAUCGGAAACUGUCAUUCUUGGGUGCAGAAGAGGAGAGUGGAACUCCAUGUGUAGCGGUGGAAUGCGUAGAUAUAUGGAAGAACACCAGUGGCGAAGGCGGCUCUCUGGUCUGCAACUGACGUUGAGGCUCGAAAGCAUGGGUAGCGAACAGGAUUAGAUACCCUGGUAGGAUAGCG
rnacentral:rRNA from 1 species